CGUGCAGCCGCGCAUUGUGAAACAAAGUAUCAACGUCGACAGACAAAUGGAGGUGGACCUACAUUCGCAUACGCCGGCCGCCGAGAAUUGCGUCCUGGCCUAGAACGUCCCAAUAAAUUGUCUCAGGAAUUCGUCAGGGUCGACUCUCUUUCCAGCGCUAAUUCAUUCUAUGUUAUGUGAGACGUUUUUGUGGUAGUGACAUGGACUGACAAUGCUCUUGGCAAUGCUUACAACUCAGGCUGAAUUCAGACACGCGACGAUAAAUGAAUAAACGUUACGUACACGAAUUUUAAUGUUUUACGAUGAACUGUAAGGAUGACUUCUGAUAUUCGAGAAGAUGGAAGUGAUUUGUUUUUUAAUUCUUGCUAGAUAUAAUUCUUGUUAAAAUGAUGCUAAUGAAAUGCUA